ACUUCGAGUUCGUGCCUUACGCAGCCAUCAUUAUCACAGCGGUCUGAUCGUGGAGCUCUACCUUUCCACGGCCUCAAACAUUGGCAGCAGAAGUCAUACGCUUUGUUAUUGUCUGCUGUGCAGAUUGUGCACCUCACACUCAGGAUAAAUUGCAGUCCCUUGGGCUGGAAAAGCCUGCAUACACCCAGCCUGCAGCCCCACAAACUUUGCAUGCAGAGUUGAGUUUAAAGGCUAGAAGGCCACACCCUGACAAGAUCUCCAAAGAGUGGUGCUCUCGGCCAAACGCAUCAUUCGAUCAGAGCUUCCUGACCUGCUGUGCACCUACACCAAGCGGUGCAAGACCAAAGCCAGGAAGAUUAUGAUGGACGUCUCCCAUCCCAACAAUGGACUCUUCUCACUGUUGAGAUCUGGGAAGAGCUUCCGCUCCCUUAAGGCCAAAACAGAGAGAAUGAAUUCUUCCCCCCUGCAAUUCGGGCCCUGAACCAGGUGUAGAACUGGACUCUGCUACAUCACAUCACUACACACACUCUGUUUAUUUCUUCUUAUAAUUUCUUUCUUAAAUUGUUAUUUGCAUAUUUUUUUUACUGUAAAUUUCUAAAUUUAAAAUCUGUAAAUUUUGUACAUUUCUUUAUUGUAGUUUAA